UAAAUUGUCUUUUAAAUUAAGACCAGUAUGAAUGGCACCACGAAGGUUUAACUGUCUCCCCCUUUUAAUCAAUGAAAUUAAUCUUCCCGUGAAGAAACGGGAAUAUAUCUAUAAGACGAAAAGACCCUAUGGAGCUUUAAACUUAUAACCACUUAUUUAAUGAUACAACAACUUAUGAUAUAAAAGUGUAAUUUAAUAGUUUUUGGUUGGGGCGACCCUGGAGAAAAACAAAUCCUCCAGACUGAAAAGAACAACCCUUAUGCAAGAAUUACAAUUCAAAUAAACAAAAAUUUGACAAAACUGACCCAGAACUAACUGAUCAAUGAACCAAGUUACCCUAGGGAUAACAGCGCAAUCUAUUUCAAGAGCCCCUAUCGACAAAUAGGUUUACGACCUCGAUGUUGGAUCAGGGUAUCCUAGCAGCGCAGCUGUUGCUAAUGGUUCGUUUGUUCAACGAUUAAUACCCUACGUGAUCUGAGU
rnacentral:rRNA from 1 species